CUAACAGACACCAUAAAUUUGACCUCUGCCAAACUGAACUCUGAACACUGUUCUACUCCAAGUUGACUUAACUAGCAUCAGUUCCAUCAUAGUUAAUGGAAACCGUUUCCAAUGGCUCAAACCAAAAACUUUGAAAUAACCUUUCUUUCUUUCACAGCCCAUUAUAUGGAAUUAUGUCAGCUCCACCUUCAACUUAUGUUAAGCUAAAACCUCACACCUUUUACCACCAAGGCAGCUAACACUGGGUCUGAGUCAUCCUCAUUUCUUAUCUGCAAGUUCUACAGCUACAUGGAGCAUUCUCCAGCCUCCAGCCUUCUGUGUUGGCCAUUCUCUCUGCCCACAACCCCAGCUAUAAGCCUGAUGAGAAGUCACCUGAAGACAGUGGUCCUUGUUUUUUUCCCUGCAUUCCUAGCACUUAAAGCAGCAAUCUAUGUAUAUACACAUAUUGUCCAAAUGUAGGAGAAAUUAAGACCUGUAUGUGUGCACAUAGAGAUAAACAUUUACCUGC